GUGGAUGUCGUAUCAUUGGUUGCGUUCCUUGCAGUCCGUGCGGAACCACUCUAGAAUUACCCUACUUUUCGUGGAAUCUAGCUAUAAUUUUGAGGGCUCCUGUUGCGACUUUGUGGCAUACUGAUGUGACAACACUGCUGAAAGUUGGAACACAUAUCUUCAUACCUCACUGCCAUGCCCGUAUUCACUCAGAUUUUUAACAUCCGCGUCAGGAUAACUUCGGGAAACACCUGAAAUUAAGAAAACCUCCAACAUGCAAUCAGACUGCACUCUUUUGCUAAACCCAAUAAUUUACAAUGUAACUAAAGGAAACUUCUAAAAUAAAGGUAACUCACCAUGACUGUUCCCUUAAAGAAAAUCUAGGCCGGCGCUGCCUUCAACCUUCAUGGUGACUCCUAUGAUGCACUACCUAUUAUAAGCCGAUGCCACCUUCAGCACCAAGACAUUUGGCGCCAGUUAUUAUGCUCUUCAACCUUUAGUAUCGCAAAUGUAAGUGAAUAAUUGUAUUUGCUCCAUUAACAGCGCCACUUCAUUUUAUUGCCGAUGAACUGUGGUCAGUGAAAGAAAUUAAUCCCAGCCCAGUUUUGUCCAAAUAUGUGGUUACCUAACGGACAGGCUGACAGACACCGCAGUUUUGUUCUGGAUCCGACUUCCUUAUUAUUUGUUUAUGCGGUGAACUUUAAACUUAUUCCAUGACGCAAAUAGUAUUAGGUAAAAGGGGAGGAGAUGUAUUUUGUUACAAGAGAAUAUUUCAGUAGAAUAAAAAAGGAGUUACAAAAUGACGUGAAAUUUCGGCGGUGCCGUGAAGGUGUGAGAUAUAAGGUCAGAAUUCAUACAUGAAGAAACUGUAAUUGACAGGAUUAGCAAGCAUACCCAUCCCCAGAAAGAAUGCAGUUCAAGAGAUAGGUCUGAACAAAAGUGUGAACCUCAAAACAUUACUGUAGACCAUAUAACAUGGAAAAUAUUUCUUAUGUCAUUGUCCUAUUACCAAAUUGACAAGCGAUGCGUAAAAUCAUUUUACUAAAUCAAAGUUAAGCCAGUAAGUUUAUUAAAACUGUCGAACUACUGACGAUCUAAAAUUGCCCCAUUAAUAUAAAAAUGUUAAGUGUGCAAGGAAAAGAAAAAUAUUCGUUUUUCGUUUAAUGGUUACAGGAGUGACUGGUGAAAGCAUUCUCAUUGUUUGGAAUGGAAACUUGGCUGGGACAAAGAAACCAAAAAAUUUGUUAUGUUCAGUAGAUGGAGUAAUUGCAGUUGUGUAACAAUUUAGAAAGGCUAUAUUAUCAUGGGCAAGAAACACAAAGGAGUGUAUUUGAUACUUGUACACUUGUAGAGCAUGCAGGGCCUUUGCAUGAAUAAUUAGGUUAGGUUAGGUUAUAAUAAGCAUAACUAAAGAUAAGAUAAUACCAAACUGCCAAACUAACUUGAACAUUCUCCUUCCGACGCGAAAACAAAAGCAAAAAAUUCCAA